rnacentral:piRNA from 1 species
UAGCCCUGAUAUUUCACUAAGAGUUUAUC